CCGAAAGUGGUCCUGAUGGGAUUGUACUGAAACCCACUGGCUUGACUGCACGAACUGAAGUCCGCAUAGGCCGAUGCCAAGCUCGACGUGUCCAUCCCGGCCAUACAUGACUCGUAGGCAGAGGAAUUUAGAUCUAAAACUGCACAGAAGGCGGUGCAGUGGGGUUUGGGGCUACAUCAUCAGACCUUAAGAUGCUGCUUCCAGCUCCUGCAGAGCACAGCUCGUCUCUGCUGGCCUCUCCGGCCCCUCCGAGCCUUUAUCUGCUGCUUCCCCAAGUGACCAAAGAGACCAGCCAGCGGAUUAACAUAAAAAUCUUAUUCCGGGGGAUAAGAUUAGGAAACAUAUUACCCUCAAACGCGGCCUUGGCACGGGCGAGAGCCAGGCAAGGAAUCAAUUACUAAAUUACUCCAACCUCUAAGUCGACAUUAACGCAGAGAAAUGCCAUCGACCGGCUCUUGAAAUAAGAUUUCGCAAAGAUGUGAUCAUUAAAUCUCUCCAGUGUUCAAGAAUUUGAUUCAUAAAAUCGUCUGAAAUGAGAUGGGAAUUAAAUUCUUAUCGGAGCUCUUGUCAUCGUUUCAUCCCGCGCCGCUGUUUAACGUUGGUCAAUGGGCCUUCAUGAGAUUUUCCCCCUGUAAAUAAACUUGGUAAUUGAA